rnacentral:snoRNA from 14 species
AAGACUAUACUUUCAGGGAUCAUUUCUAUAGUUUAUAACUUGAGAAAUGUGUUUCUAAAGUGAUCGGUCUCGCUAACCACGAUGAUGAGAUACGAUAUUCUCUUCUGAGCGCGAAACGGAUCGAGAAUAAUGAUUCACUUCAUAGGUUCUCGGUCAUUGAUGACCGUUCUUUGCUCCUUCUGGGAACAUUGAGGGAGAGGAUAUGAUCGGAGUGGUU